GACGAAGGAUGCAAGCGUUAUCCGGAUUCAUUGGGCUUAAAGGGAGCGUAGGCGGCCUUAUAAGUCAGUGGUGAAAUCUCGCAGCUUAACUGCGAAAUUGCCAUUGAUACUGUAGGGCUUGAGUACAGUUGCCGUUGGCGGAAUAUGACAUGUAGUGGUGAAAUGCAUAGAUAUGACCCGGAACACCAAUUGCGAAGGCAGCAGGCUGAACAAAGAUUGACGCUGAGGCUCGAAAGCGUGGGGAGCAAACAGG
rnacentral:rRNA from 1 species